UCAGGAUGAACGCUGGCGGCGUGCUUAACACAUGCAAGUCGAACGAGGUUAAGUUUCGGAUUUAAACCGAGUGGCGGACGGGUGAGUAACGCGUGGGUAACCUGCCGUAUGCAGGGGGACAACAGUUAGAAAUGACUGCUAAUACCGCAUAAGCUCACGGUAUCGCAUGAUACAGUGAGAAAAGAUUUAUCGGCAUACGAUGGACCCGCGUCCGAUUAGUUAGUUGGUGAGGUAACGGCCCACCAAGGCGACGAUCGGUAGCCGACCUGAGAGGGUGACCGGCCACAUUGGGACUGAGACACGGCCCAAACUCCUACGGGAGGCAGCAGUGGGGAAUAUUGCACAAUGGGCGCAAGCCUGAUGCAAGCGACGCCGCGUGAGUGAUGAAGUAUUUCGGUACGUAAAGCUCUAUCAGCAGGGAAGAUAAUGACGGUACCUGACUAAGAAGCCCCGGCUAACUACGUGCCAGCAGCCGC
rnacentral:rRNA from 1 species